GAUGAAGAACGUAGCAAAAUGCGAUAAGUAAUGUGAAUUGCAGAAUUCAGUGAAUCAUCGAAUCUUUGAACGCACAUUGCGCCCGCCAGUAUUCUGGCGGGCAUGCCUGUUCGAGCGUCAUUUCAACCCUCAAGCACAGCUUGGUGUUGGGACUCGCGUUAAUUCGCGUUCCUCAAAUUGAUUGGCGGUCACGUCGAGCUUCCAUAGCGUAGUAGUAAAACCCUCGUUACUGGUAAUCGUCGCGGCCACGCCGUUAAACCCCAACUUCUGAAUGUUGACCUCGGAUCAGGUAGGAAUACCCGCUGAACUUAAGCAUAUCAAUAAGCGGAGAA
rnacentral:misc_RNA from 1 species